UACGAAGGGGGCUAGCGUUGCUCGGAAUGACUGGGCGUAAAGGGCGCGUAGGCGGUUUGUACAGUCAGAUGUGAAAUUCCCGGGCUCAACCUGGGGGCUGCAUUUGAUACGUAUGGACUUGAGUGGGGAAGAGGGUCGUGGAAUUCCCAGUGUAGAGGUGAAAUUCGUAGAUAUUGGGAAGAACACCGGUGGCGAAGGCGGCGACCUGGUCCUUGACUGACGCUGAGGCGCGAAAGCGUGGGGAGCAAACAGG
rnacentral:rRNA from 1 species